UACGUAGGAGACGAGCGUUGUCCGGAAUUACUGGGCGUAAAGCGCGUGUAGGCGGAUGGGCAAGUCUGCUGUGAAAGCUCCUGGCUUAACCGGGAGUGGUCGGUGGAAACUGCUCGUCUGGAGGACGGUAGAGGUAGGUAGAAUUCCCGGUGUAGUGGUGAAAUGCGUAGAGAUCGGGAGGAAUACCUGUGGCGAAGGCGGCCUAUUGGGCCGGACCUGACGCUGAGACGCGAAGGCGUGGGGAGCGAACGGG
rnacentral:rRNA from 1 species